UCAACUCCUCCUGGGACAUGACACUAAAUUCCCCCCAAAUCUUCUCCUUUUUUUGCUUAAGCUGGUUAGCUCUGGAUUCUGUUACUCACAAUAGCUUUGUGGAAAUCAUGUUUUAAAACCGCACUUGCAUGCUGCAGCUUAAGGAAAUCAGAAAGUUAAAUUGAAGAGAUCACAAUAUGUACUUACUUUUUUUAGGGAGACCUUCCUUCUUGAGUCUAAGAACUUUAGUAAAAGAACCAGUGGGCUGUCCAAAGAGAAUCCAAGUUCCCUCAGGAGCAUUCUGUGUCACAAAUUGGCAUGGAUGUGAGACACGUCACCCAUCAUCUGAAGGCAGGUCUCCACGCUUCAGAAAUAGAUCCCACCCUGGACUGAUGUGCAAAUGCUAUAAAUAGAUGCAGGCUAUGCCAUAGCUUACCAUAAAUACAUUAAAAGGAAGAGAAAUCAUUUAAAAGUCUCAAGCAAUUGAGAGUACAAAAUAAAGCACUGCCACCUGAA